rnacentral:misc_RNA from 1 species
GAUGAAGAACCUAGCGAAAUGCGAUACGUAAUGUGAAUUGCAGAAUUCAGUGAAUCAUCGAGUCUUUGAACGCACAUUGCGCCCCCUGGUAUUCCGGGGGGCAUGCCUGUCCGAGCGUCAUUGCUGCCCUCAAGCACGGCUUGUGUGUUGGGCCUCCGUCCUCCUCCCGGGGGACGGGCCCGAAAGGCAGCGGCGGCACCGCGUCCGGUCCUCGAGCGUAUGGGGCUUCGUCACCCGCUCUUGUAGGCCCGGCCGGCGCUUGCCGACACAUCAAUCUUUUUUCCAGGUUGACCUCGGAUCAGGUAGGGAUACCCGCUGAACUUAAGCAUAUCAAUAAGCGGAGGA